rnacentral:rRNA from 1 species
UACGGGGGGGGCAAGCGUUGUUCGGAAUUACUGGGCGUAAAGGGCUCGUAGGCGGCCAACUAAGUCGGAUGUGAAAUCCCCAGGCUUAACCUGGGAACUGCAUCCGAUACUGGAUGGCUUGAAUCCGGGAGAGGGAUGCAGAAUUCCAGGUGUAGCGGUGAAAUGCGUAGAUAUCUGGAGGAAUACCUAUUGCGAAGGCAGCUCGCUGGGACGUAACUGACGCUGAGACGCGAAAGCGUGGGGAGCAAACAGG